rnacentral:rRNA from 1 species
GAUAUUGCACAAUGGGGGAAACCCUGAUGCAGCGACGCCGCGUGAGCGAAGAAGGCCUUCGGGUCAUAAAGCUCUGUUUCGAGGGAAGAUAAUGACAGUACCCCCGGAGGAAGCCCCGGCUAACUACGUGCCAGCAGCCGCGGUAAUACGUAGGGGGCGAGCGUUGUCCGGAAUUACUGGACGUAAAGCGCGCGCAGGUGGCUUGUUAAGUCAGGUGUCAAAAUGCGGGGCUCAACCCCGUACCGCACUUGAAACUGGCAGGCUUGAGUGCAGGAGAGGGAAGUGGAAUUCCUAGUGUAGCGGUGAAAUGCGUAGAUAUUAGGAGGAACACCAGUGGCGAAGGCGACUUCCUGGACUGUAACUGACACUGAGGCGCGAAAGCUAGGGGAGCAAAC